GGCAGCCUGCAGGGGCGUGGACUCUGCUGAUAUGGAGGCCUGAUGCUGCCACAGUGGUUCAACAAUCAGCUUCACUGACGGCCAAAUAAAACCAGACUGCAUUUCCUGCAGUGGGUUGCAGGAAAACUGCAGCAGCUGAAAGUCUGAACGCGACGCAGAAACGGAAGGAGACGGUCGAGACUGAGCCUGUGGUCGAGGCUUGUUUUUAUUAAGGGAAGCAGUUUUUGAACAUGAAACCAACAGGAUUCUUGCAAUAACAAGAAUAAAAAUAAUAUAUGUAGUUUCAUAUCUUAGUUUAAAUUAAUUUCUGGUUAUAAAAAGAUAAAAGAUGUUUAAAAGAACCCCUUAAAUUUCACAGUGAGAAUUUUUUUAGGACCACUAUUGCCUCGCAAUAAUCUCUGCAUUUCCUCACAAUAACUUUUGCAUUUUCUUGCAAUAAGUUUUAUUGCAAUAAGUUUUGCAUUUCUGUGCAGUACCUUCUGCAUUCUUUCGCAAUAGUUUAUGCAUUUUCUUGCGGUAAGUUUUGGGUUUUCUCACAAUAACAUUUAAGUUUUCUUCACAAUAACUUUUGCAUUUCUAACUUUUACAUUCUCUUCCCAUAAGUUCUGCCUUUCAUUGCAAUAUGUUUUGCAUUUCCUCGCAGUCACUUUUACAUUUUCUAGUGAUACGUUUUUUUACCCUUUGAGCUAACAUUUGGGUUUUCUUGCAAUAACUUGUGCAUUUCCUCACAAUAACUUUUCCGUUUCUUCACAACAACUUUUGUGUUUCCUUGCAACAACUCUUGUUUUUCCUUGUAAUAAGUUUUGCCUUCUCUUGGAAUAACAUUUGCAUUUCUGUACUGUACCUUCUGCAUUCUUUUGUAAUAGUUUAUGUAUUCCAAUUUGUAUUCCAUUUGCAAUAAGUUUUGCAUUUUCUCGCAAUAACAGUUGUGUUUCAUAACAAUAACAUUUACAGUUCAUCACAGUAACUUUUGAGUUUCCUCGCAAUAAGUUUGGCAUCACAAUAACUUUCCCUUGCAAUAACUUUUGCAUUUUGUCACAGUAAUUUUUGCCUUUCAUUGCAAUGUUUUGCAUUUCCUCACAAUAACAUUUGCAACAUAACAUAACAUAACAUAACAUUUUCCUUGCAGUCACUUAUGCAUUUUCUUGCGAUAUGUUUUGUUACCCUUUAAGCUAACAUUUAGGUUUUCUUGCAAUAACUUCUGUAUUUCCUCACAAUAAGUUUUUCAUUUCUUCGCAACAACUUUUGCUUUUUUUAGUAAUAAGUUUUGCCUUCUCUUGCAAUAACAUUUGUGUUGUGACUUCUAGUCAUAGUUGCAGUGUUUCCACAGAGGUGCAGGUGUCAUCAUGUCAGUAUUGUUUCUACUUUUUAGAAUAGGGCAGAAUUUGUGAUUAGUUCUGAGUGUUUUAUGUUUCUUUUUAACUUUACUGCUCCCUGGUGGUGAAACUGUCUGAACGUCGGCCCUCUUUGGCCCCCCGACUUUACGCCCCUGCCUCUCUUUCUUUUUUUAGCCCCUGUAUCAGAUGACUCAUUUUUUCCUGCUGAACUGUUGCCUACAUUUAAUCGGUUGCAUCAGUUUGCUUGCAUGUGUGAGUCUCUGGAAACUCAACAGAUCAAUGGAAAGGAGAAUCGCCCACGAUGGAAUCACACAGAAGACAGCAGGAUGUCCUGAAAGACCGCAGACUGCAGAUUUAUCUUGUGACCUUUACGAAGAUGCUGAACUGUAGAUUCGACCAGACCACUAAACUGUAUAAAACAGGUAAAAUUGCACUAUGAUCAGUUAUUUUCCUGCAUAAUAAGUACUUUCUACAUUAAUUCUAGUUUCUAACAGUAGAUAAUCAUUCUGUUAGUAACAUUUCUGUAUGACUAAGACAGCCAACAAGAGACAGUGGCAAAAUGUCACAGUUUCUCUGAUUAUUAUUGUGUUUUCUUUGACAUUUUAUUUCUCUUUUUCAGUGUGUUUUAAAAUAUGUUGAUGUUAAACAAGUUCUCUAGUGAUGCAUACUAUAUGUGGCAGAAGUGAGGACGAAGGUGAAUAACGUGAAAAUGUAAUAAAUCUUAUCUGCUGCUUGUUAAACGCCACUAUCUGCUAGAACUACAUGUCAGAUAAUGUGAGAGGAGCUGAAAAUAUUGAUGAUUUUAUAUUAAAAAUGCACCUUCUCAAGCUACAAUCAUUAGUCAGGUAAUAGAUUAAUGUCAACUAUUAAAAUAAUUGUGAAAUAUUUUGUUAAUCAGUUAAAAAUAGUUGACAACCCAAAGAAAAAAUGUCCAAAUUGUGUGAUUGCAACUUCUUAAAUGUGAAUAUUUUCUGGUUUCUUUCCUCCUUUAUGACAGUAAAUUGAAUAUUUUUGGGUUCUGGACAAAAAAAAUGUGUCAUUGGGAGCUUUGACAAACAAUGAUUGUCAUUUUUUCAACAAAUAAUCCAGAAAAUAAUCAACACAUUAAUGAAAAUUAUGAUGAGUCACAGCCCUUUUACAUAGUGUUUUAUAAUCCAGUAGUAUUUUGUAUUUUACUUUGUUGUUGUUUUACUAUACAUUCUUUUUUAAUCCAUCAUAAUUUAAUUGAAUUACUCUUUUUAAUCUUUUAUUCAUCUUUAACUAUCCAAACCACUUAUUUAUUGUCUUAAAUUUCAUAAUUUCCUUGUGUGUGAGUCUCUACGUCUAUUUUAUCAUCCUCUACGUUUAGUCAACUAUUGAAUUUGAUUGUGCCACAUUAAAUAAGGUUUAUAUCUAUGUGUUUCCUACAGUGUUAUAAAGUUAUAGUGUAAAUCGCA